GUCUCUGUAGCGCAAUGUAUAACACGUUGGACUUUAUAUCCAACUGUCGUGGGUUCGAAUCCCACCAGGGAUG